UACGAAGGGGGAGCUAGCGUUGCUCGGAAUCACUGGGCGUAAAGGGUGCGUAGGCGGGUUUUAAGUCAGGGGUGAAAUCCUGGAGCUCAACUCCAAGAACGUCGCCCUUUGAUACUGAAGAUCUUGAGUCCGGGAGAGGUGAGUGGAACUGCGAGUGUAGAGGUGAAAUUCGUAGAUAUUGCAAGAACACCAGUGGCGAAGGCGGCUCACUGGCCCGGUACUGACGCUGAGGCACGAAAGCGUGGGGAGCAAACAGGG
rnacentral:rRNA from 1 species